GGGCGGGAUCUAGGCGAAGUUAGGUGGGGCGAAGCCGUUGGCUCUGGGACGCUAGGGAAACCGAAACCUUCCUCUGGAUUGGGUCUCCGCCGGCGUCUGGCCGAAAGUGUAUCCGGGUCCAGGACGCGGAGGGAGGCAACGUGGAUAACUCUGAAACCAAGGCAACAGCUAUCCAAGAAUUAAUGACUUUGGAGACCUGAGCUUUAUCAGGAUGAAUGAAUAUGGAAGUCCUCAAGCCUCCCCAACUUUGCCUCCCUUUCCACACUGCUCUCUGCCUCUGCCAGGAGAGCCCAGCCUCCACACCUCCCUCCUCCCUUUCCCCAUCCCACCAUCCUAAGGCAGAUUGCCCAGGUUGAAGGCCGGAGGUAAAUAGCUGAGCAAUGCCAUAUGUGCCUCAAGAGCAUGGUUUUGAGUACCAAGUUCUUAAUGGUACUCAAAACUAAAAAUAAGUCAGUGGUUCACCUCAGAGGUUACUAGGGAACGAAUUCGUUAUUUUAAAAACAAUGAGGAAAAGAAUCAAGCAUUUAUUCUGUCUUUUUUACAUGGGCUCCUCAGGGCUACCAAAUAGUUGAUGGGGGAAGUAUCUCUCUGUAGAGUAUUUCAGUUAAUCGAAGACAGAGGCAAUCAAAAUUUCAUCAUUUUUAUUAUUUUUAAACUUUAAAGGCUUAAUAGAUCCUAAGGAUUGAUCAUCAAUGGCUGCUAAUAUCACUAAAAGAAAACCAGCUAUUUUAUGCCUCAUGAUGGAAGAACACACCACUUCCUAUGAAGUAUUCUUGCUAAAAAAUAGAAUUUGAAUCUGGAUGUGACUACCAUUUUAUAAGAAAUGCAAAAGAACAUCUUUAAAUAUUCGGAAGAAGCUUGAAUGACCCAUGUGAUAGUGGAUCAAGUUGGAGAUAUCAGUCUGAAUUUGUGUUUAACUUAAUUCAGAUACAGAUGGUUACACAUAAAAAAAAAAUAUAUAUAUAUAUAUAUCUCUUAAGACACUGUACAUGUAUAUUUCUUUGCCCUGUCACCUGAAGGGACCUAAAAGGAAUGAUACCCCAGUAUCAAUAAGCAUACCCACUGCCCAGAUCUUGAUUUCUAAUACCAUUUUCCAGUAAAACAAACAAACAAACAAAAAUUCCUUGGAAGAAUGGCCGAUUCAAGCACUGGAGCAGGAAAUAUACAGGAUGAAAACAUGAUGAGACUGGAGCAUCUUGUGAUUCCAGAAAGUAAGGAAGUAUACCUAAUGGGAAAAAAAGUAUUGAUGGGAGCAUGUGAAAGGAACAGGGACACAGGAGCCUACUGAGUGAGUUCUCAAUGGCCAAAGCCGAAACAGUUUGAGCAAAAAAUUAAUAAUAAAGUUAUAUUAGAUCAUAACUUAAAGUAUAAAAUAUCUACAGGUUCCUACUGAUAUAAAUAAUGAAUAAAGAAAUAAGUGGGUGAGAAGAGACAAUUCUCCCAUGCAGAAAAGUUUGAAAUAACGUAGAUACUCUGCCCUCAAGGAGGUAAAGCAUAGCUGUUAACCCCUUAGUGUGGGUUGUGAAUAGUGACUUCCUUCCAAAGAGGACAAUAUGGAAAGAGGUGUAUGUGUAUGUGUUUGGGGGUAGCGGGGCACGAUUUGUAACUUUGUGGGGGAAUCUGACAAACAUUACUUUAGCCAGGUGACCAAGGUCAACAUCAACAGUAAUAAGUCAUGUUGAUAGUAUAUGUACCCUUGAUAUGAUGUAAUGAAUAGGGUACUUAACUAUAUUUGUGGUCUUCCUCCCAAAAUGACGUAACCCCAGUUCAAUCAUGAAAAAAAAGCAUUACGUAAAUUCUAAAAGAGAGACAUUCUAAAAAAUACCUGACCAGCAUCCCUCAAAACUAUUAAGGUGAGCAAACACAAGGAAAGCCUAAGAAACUGUCACAACAAAGAGGACCCUAAGGAGUCAUGACUAAAUGUAAUGCAGUAUCCCGGGUGGGAUCCUGGGUCAGAGAAAGGACUUCAGAUAAAAGCCAAGGAAAUCUGAAUAAAAUAUGGACUUCGAUUAAUA